AUGAACUAUUUCCCGGCGACAUGUCUAUCAGUGAGUACUACCCAGAGGAUUUUCUUGUCUUGUGCAGAUCAGUUGAGCUGCGGAAUAGGGUGCUCAGGCGUGGCCACGCGGGGACAUCGCUCUUCGAUCUGGUGUUCUCACCGUGGUCUCGCCGUGUGCGAGGAACCGGAGUUUCCAUGCCUUUCUUGGUGCCGCUGGCGCUCCGUGGAGUGCCGGCAAAUGCCUGGACGCGGAGAACUGCGGAGGUGCUGCUGCACGGGCUCGGUUUUGUGGUCAAAGUUGCAUCUUCCACGAUGUCCCGCAAUGAUAUGGCAGAGUUCAAGGUCUGGCUGCGGACGGAUGACCCGGCAAGGAUCCCUCCCAAGCGCAUUCUCAUGGUGGAAGAACAGGGCAGGCGCGGCGAGCACGCCAUGGCCGCAGGGAAGCAGGAUGAUGCUCUGUGGUACCCGGUAUCGAUCAGCCAGAUUGGCGAUGCAAUUCGGGUGGACGACUUGGCCGGGGCGACACCUCCACCACCACCGCCGCCACCCCUCCUCCCCGCCUUCUGCUGAUGAUGAUGGGAGUGGUGACCGUGGAGAUGCGAAUGAGGGUCCGCCGACGCCGCCAUCCAGGGCCUCACCGGAAUCUUCUUCGGCGGACUCAACCCCCUCGCCGCCGCAGCCGCAGCAGGGUGGUGGAUUUCAAAACCACGUGGUCGGUCAACAGGACCGGGUGGACUGUACGGGGGCAGUUUCGGAUGAUACGGCUGACGCGACCCUGAUCGUGGGUGAGGUCAACGUGGAACGCCUGUUGGUGGUGGAGCGCGCUCUAGGCGGUUCGAUAGGCACGAAGGCCCCGUCAAUGGAAAGCAGGGUCGGUCCCACUGGUCACCAGAGAGGUGGCCGAGCAGGUUGUGUGCCAAGGCUGCUGGUUCGAGAAAAUUCGGUGGCUUCGAUCAACCAACCGGAAGGUGACAGUGCGCCGCCCCUGGCGAUGGUUGGGCGGGCAGCGCUGGGCCAGGCUGUGUCGCGUCCGGUGGUGGGGCCUAGUAGCCCUGUGGGCACAGGAGAUUCGCCUGGGAUCAGAGUGGGCGAUUGGGAGCUGCGCCUCUCCCAUGUGGAGGAAAGCCUGCUGCGGGGGCCAUGCGCCCCGACCGAGGAGGAUUUUGACAGCGACAACUGUGGCAGUUCUGUACUGGUGGAUUUCCCGACUAUUCGGAAUUUGCGAAGGGACUAG
rnacentral:rRNA from 1 species